AGAAAAAUUCUAGUUUUCUCCUGCUUGGCUGCGGAGGACGUUAGGGUGGGCUCAGCGCGGGGGCUGCAGGCAGAAGUGGGCCCAGAGGACAAGGUCGAGGUUAGAGCCAGGCCUGUGGGCCGGGCUACGGGCAAGUGGCGGGGCCCACUCUCGGGGGCGGCGAGGAAGGUGGGGCCAGGCCCAGAGGAAAAGGUUGAAGUUACAGCCAGGCCUGCCGGCGAGGCCACAGGGGGACGGGCCGUAGGGGAAGGAGCCGAUGUGUUAUGCAUCUAGAAAAUACACAAAGUCUCACUUUGUCACCAAGGCUGGAGUUCAGUGGAGCCAUCUCAGCUCACUGCAACCUCUGCCUCUCAGGUUCAAGCGAUUCUCCUGCCUCAGCCUCCCAAGUAGCUGGGAUUACAGGCACAUCCAGCCACACCCUGCUAAUUUUUGUAUUUUUAGUAGAGACAGGGUUUUGCCAUGCUGGCCAGGUUGGUCUUGAGCUCCUUGUCAGGCUUCUGGGCACAGGCUAAGCCAUCAUAACCCCUCUGACCUGCAGGUAUACAUCCAGAUGGCCAGGAGCAACUGAAGAACCAUAAAAGAAGUGAAACAGCCAGUUCCUGCCUUAACUGAUGAUGUUCCACCAUUGUGAUUUGUUCCUGCCCCACCCCAACUGAUCUCUUGACCUUGUGACAUUCUUCUCCUGGACAAUGAGUCUCAGGAGUUCCCCACCCAGCACCUCAUGACCCCUGCCCCUGCCUGCAAAAAAUAACCACCUUUGACUGUAACUUUCCCUUACCUACCUAAAUCCUGUAAAACUGCCCCACCCCUAUCUCCCUUUGCUGACUCCUUUCUCAGACUCAGCCCACUUACACCCAAGUGAAUAAACAGCCUUGUUGCU